AGGGGUUUCGUAUAACGGUAGUAUAGCAGUCUCCAAAACUGUUGGUAGGAGUUCGAUUCUUCUAACCCCUG
rnacentral:tRNA from 1 species